GACGUGCUAAUCUGCGAUAAGCGCCGGUAAGGUGAUAUGAACCGUUAUAACCGGCGAUUUCCGAAUGGGGAAACCCAGUGUGACUCGUCACACUAUCAUUAACUGAAUCCAUAGGUUAAUGAGGCGAACCGGGGGAACUGAAACAUCUAAGUACCCCGAGGAAAAGAAAUCAACCGAGAUUCCCCCAGUAGCGGCGAGCGAACGGGGAGGAGCCCAGAGCCUGAAUCAGCAUGUGUGUUAGUGGAAGCGUCUGGAAAGGCGCGCGAUACAGGGUGACAGCCCCGUACACAAAAGCGCAUGUGCUGUGAGCUCGAUGAGUAGGGCGGGACACGUGGUAUCCUGUCUGAAUAUGGGGGGACCAUCCUCCAAGGCUAAAUACUCCUGACUGACCGAUAGUGAACCAGUACCGUGAGGGAAAGGCGAAAAGAACCCCGGCGAGGGGAGUGAAAAAGAACCUGAAACCGU
rnacentral:rRNA from 1 species